rnacentral:sRNA from 1 species
UGGCCGUUUGGUAGGCGUCCACAGCUUC